rnacentral:rRNA from 1 species
UAGGGAAUCUUCCACAAUGAACGAAAGUCUGAUGGAGCAACGCCGCGUGAGUGAAGAAGGGUUUCGGCUCGUAAAACUCUGUUGUUAAAGAAGAACAUAUCUGAGAGUAACUGUUCAGGUAUUGACGGUAUUUAACCAGAAAGCCACGGCUAACUACGUGUCAG